CAACGGAUCUAUAUAUAUAGAUUGUUUUACAUUCCUCACAUUGUCCAUCUACAUCUACUUUUUAUUCAAUCCAUAUCUGAGGUUUACAUAUCGCUCUACAAACAUAUUAUUGCUAUGGCUGAAGGUUCAUCAAGUCUACCAUGGUUCUUAAGGCUAAUGAAUGUAGCAGAUACAGUUAUUUUG